CGAUAGCGAAGAGGUCACACCCGUUCCCAUACCGAACACGGAAGUUAAGCUCUUUAGCGCCAAUGGUAGUUGGGACUUUGUCCCUGUGAGAGUAGGACGUUGCCA
rnacentral:rRNA from 1 species